rnacentral:rRNA from 1 species
AUUGAACGCUGGCGGCAUGCCUUACACAUGCAAGUCGAACGGCAGCACGGGAGCUUGCUCCUGGUGGCGAGUGGCGAACGGGUGAGUAAUGCAUCGGAACGUACCCAGUAGUGGGGGAUAACGCACCGAAAGGUGCGCUAAUACCGCAUACGACCUAAGGGUGAAAGCGGGGGACCGUAAGGCCUCGCGCUAUUGGAGCGGCCGAUGUCUGAUUAGCUAGUUGGCGGGGUAAAGGCCCACCAAGGCGACGAUCAGUAGCUGGUCUGAGAGGACGAUCAGCCACACUGGGACUGAGACACGGCCCAGACUCCUACGGGAGGCAGCAGUGGGGAAUUUUGGACAAUGGGGGCAACCCUGAUCCAGCAAUGCCGCGUGUGCGAAGAAGGCCUUCGGGUUGUAAGGCACUUUUGUCAGGGAAGAAAUCUUUUGGGCUAAUACCCCGGAAGGAUGACGGUACCUGAAGAAUAAGCACCGGCUAACUACGUGCCAGCCGCCGCCGUAACAC